CGGGCUUUGUUAAACAAGCAGCAAAGCCAGCCCCUCCUGGAGCUGCCCAUGGGCUACAAAGCAAAGGAAAUGACCGAGGAGAUGAUGGUUAAGCGUGCAGAGCGCGCCCGGAAAAGACGCCUCCAGGCAGCCAAGAAGGCGGAAGAAAGCAAAAACCAAACAAUCGAGCGCCUGACGAAAACAAACAAGGCUAAAGUGAAGACGCUGAGAGAGAAACGGACCAAGAGAACCCAUUACCCCAUGAUCAGAUAUUCAAAUAACCUUGGGGGGAUUACUGUUGCUUUUCCACCUGGCUGUUCUGCUCCACUCCCAGGGAUCCCGCGACCUGUCCCCAAACCGAUAACCUGUGGGGUCGAUAGUUGCUCAAAUCUGAAGAAGUACUCUUGUUCCAAAAGUGGGUUACCUCUCUGCAGCAUUGGGUGUUACAAAAAGAAUUUGCUGAACUUGGGUUUGGCUUGACCAGAAGUAAACAAACAAAGAUACAGAGGUAGAGAUACCUAGGAGCCACAUUGAUCCUCGCUGCCACCAGUGCACAGUGCUAUCCAGCAACAUUCACAUUUAUGGAUAGAAUAUGAAGGAAUGAUAAUGCACUCCAAUGGGUUAGAGUUGUUAUGAUAUGAGCUAACAAUCCCCACAAAUGCUCAAGACACCCAUACGGAUAUUGUUCAGUUGAUCCAGAAGGAGGUCCACUUCAAAGAGUGCCAAUGGAGCCCCUUUUUGUUUUUUACAGGUGAUGCAGCCGAGAUUGGCAAGAGUCCUCUUUGAGGAAAGCUCUACAUGAGCACAGCAAGUCAAGACAAGGAUUCAAACUCCAGCUACCCUCGUCUGAAUACAACACUGUACUGUCAGACAGGCACCCAAUGUGUGUACUCUAUUUAUAAUGCUUUUUGAAAAGAUUUAUUUCAUAACAAAUGCAGCAAUAAACUUAUUUAGAAACA